CACCAAACAAAACUCUAGUUUCCACAUCGUCUUUUUGCUUGAGUUUGGGACAUUCAGGAAGGCUGACAGCUUGCGUUUCCGUGCUGGAAGGUGCUGGAAGGUGCUGGAAGGUGCUGGAAGGAAGGAUGCCAUCCUGAGAUGCAAGACAGGCCCCGCAGGGCCACUGGGGAGAAAUGGGCACGGGGUUCGCCUCGCCCACCCUGGGUCACAGGAUGGGUUCCAGCCCCAUUUCAGCAACCCGGGUGCUUGUUUUGAAUCAGCCUCCUGGACUUUCGCCAUGAAAUCAGCGGGCAGCUUCUGUCUCCAGCAGCCAGCAGAGGCCUGGACAAAAUCCCACAGGAGGGAGGUCCACUUACAACGGUCCCUUCCUUCGAAGCAGCCUCAGGGUCAGGGAUAGGGCGUGGCUUUGGUGAUACAACCGCGAUGUGAACGCCUGAGAUUUUAGUACUUACAGACGGGGGGCACACAGCACACCUGGAGGCCGCACACUCAGGGGUCAGAGAGCACGGGCAGGGAGAAAGCAGGCUCCCGGCAGCCCACUGCGUAGACGGGGGACUCGGGUGGGGGCACCUUAAGCUCACAGGCAAAGGCCUGAAUCACCCAUUUUAAGGAAAACGAGGAGCCCAGUGUGCGAGGCGAGAGAGACGUCUGUGUUUUUACCUCUGGCCGCCACCUUGAGCCAUUUGGAUGUGGUGUCAAACUGCACACGUGCGAGGGUGACUGAACCCUGGCUCUGGCACGAGAAAGCUAAACCCAUUCAUGGUAGAUGCGGAGGUGACAUAAACCUGUAGGCAUCCACUAUAGUUCCUCCAAAUAGUCCUGAGCCAGCCCCAGGGUUCCAGCCACAGAGGCAGCGUGGCAGCAGCUCUCAGCAGCCCGUGUGGGUGUAAAGCUGCAGCAUGACCGAAACUCACAAGCAUUCCCAUGCUCUGAGGGGGUCUGGCCCCCAUGGGACCCAAGAAGAGGGGGCAGCAGCGCACAGAGGAGCUACAGCAGCCACCUCGACCCGACCAUGCGCCCCGGAUCAUCAGCAUCUGGAGCAAGAAGAGCCGCGCUUCUCCCUGGAGACGUUCACCAAAGAGACGCCUCUCCAGAGAGAAAGUUGGUGCCAUGGGCCGCCGGGAGCUCGGUUUAUUGUAUAGACGGUGGAACUGAAGAGCAGAGAUUUGAGGCUUAUCCAUAGCGAGGGGCUUGUUUAGACCUAGUUGCUGAAAUUAAGGUAGGUAUUUGGUCUGUACAUUAAUUCCUAUGUGCUGUAAUUAAUCAUCUGCUUUAAUGAAUGAUGACUUAUGAUGUGAUUUCCUAAAAUGAGAUGUUUUCCUUUCAGCAUAAACCCUGGGAAGGCUGGCCUCCCAGGUCUUGAGGUUGGGGGCAGGUGGGCAGGGUGAGGAGCAACCUUGGGCUUAGUGUUGAGUACUGGAGUCUGGCACCAGACACUUGGGCACAAAACCAAGCGGGUAGUCAGUGAUGUGGCCUGGAGCAGGCGACUCACCCAUCUGUGACUAGACUUCCCGCUUGCGUCACGGGACCAUGCACCAACUGUGUCAUGCGGUCUUGGAAAGAUUAAAUAUACCGAUCUUCGUAAGUGUGUGCAACUUACAGGGGUGCACAGACCAUGCGCUACGUAAGUCUUCACCAGGAAGACAUCAUACCCCACGCAAAGGUCAGAGUGACUCAAGUUAUGCCAUUAAACAUCCAGCAGGACCAAAGAACAGUGGGUCUUAACAUCAGAGAAUUCCCUAUUAAAAUGCAGCUUCCAGCCCCUCACCAGGGAAGGCAAACUCCCAGGCUGCUGUCAAUUAUGACUCCACUUUGUGACAAGAUGACUUGCUUGGGUGCCUGAGGAAACGCUAGAUUCCCAGUGGCCUUGUGGUGGUUGGGCAUGAGGUGUCCAGAAAAGGAAUUCAACAGCAGAGGAACAGAAAGAGGGGCCCUACACUGCGCCUGCCAUCCUCAUGGGCUUCGUUUCCAGCCAG
rnacentral:lncRNA from 10 species